CAAUGGUCGCGUUCACCAGAAUAAUCCGAGUGCAAUCCGAUUAAUUUGCGCUGAAACGCUGACAGUUUUUUUACUAGUGAACGACUGACGUUUGACAUUCGAUUGAGAGUGUUCUGUGUUCCAUUUGUUUAUGUUUUUAUUCUUUGUUUAUAUAAUUUAUAACCUAAACCUAGACAGUUUUGUUUUUAUUUUAAAUAAAACUGAAACUGUCUAAACUAAAAUGGAUAAUAUUCUUGAAGAACUUUUGUUUGGGGACGAAAUUAGCAAAUGCCGUUAUACAUUUAGCAGAUGUACCUACCUCAAAUUAUUCCAGAAGGAUGAGAUGAAAUUAAAUAUAUAUAAACCAUAAUUCAAUAUCCAAUUUAGAGAACAUUUUCGUAUGUCCAGAACUACUUUCCAGGAACUAUUUAAUUGUAUUGGUCAUAUCCACCAAUUUGAAAACAGAAUAAUUCUAUUGGAAAAAAUUAAUGUUUAUGAUGUGGAUGCUAAGUAAACCAGAUAAUUUGUUGCUGGGGAUACGUUUGGUUUGCCAAAGAGCUCUGGACAUAAGAUUUUCACCCAAAUAAUAUAGAAUUACAAAAAAUUGGAAAUAACUAAUCUUGAAUAUCAAUGUGUAUAUUGAGUUUAAUUUUAUUGUAAAUAUUCUAUAAUAUAAUUUUAUUGUAAAUAUUGUAUUAACACAUUUGUGGACACAUUUUCAUAUGCAGACAGUAAUUUCCCUUUGUAAGUACAUGCAUAUAUAGUCGUAUCUGCGAAUGGGUUAAUUGUAAAUCGUAAUCAAUAAAAAAUUUUUGUGAAUCAAUAAAAAACUGGUUUGUUUGAAAAUAAAUGUAGUACAAAUGUG